UUAGUAUUAAACCAUUAUUAUUGAAAAUAUAUGGGUAAUCUGAGAACAACAAGGCUUAGGAAUCUUUAAUUAGAGUACUUGACCAGGACAAGGCAAAAAACGACAGUAACAGAGAUGCUUAUCUUGAGGUUGAUCAGUGCAAGUACAAUCGGUUGGACCAAGAUCUCCAGUAUCACCCCAUGUUGCUUUUAAAUCAUCAAAGCAUUGUGUAAAAUCUUUUUUGCAUGAACCACCAAAUAUUUGUUUCUUUGAUGGGCACCAUGGUCUUAUCUCCUGUUGGAGGUGAAAACCGCACCUUGGUUUUCUCCGGUACAAAUUGAGAUCGGCGAACCGUAAGCCCGGUUUACGAAGGGAUGUACCGAGAGAAGAUGGGCCGAGCGAAGAUGGGCCGAAGAUAGCCCAUUAGGCCGAGGUCGGUGGGAAACAUCUCAAAGGAAUGGAAGGUUUCCUUGAGCUCGGCCGAAACAGGAAAGUUUCCUGAGGGAAAAAGGAAACUUCGGAGAGAAAAGGAAAGGAACCGAGAGAAAAGGAAACUCCUCUCGGUCCCAUAUCGUCUAAGGCGUGCUUGAAGACCGACUUAUGACUUAUGAGAUAUAUAUAAAGGGAGACGAAUCGACAUCAGAGAACACAAGUUAUUCCCAAGAAGACUUAAAGAUUGAGAACUCAUUACGACAGCUUCUUAGUCGCAUUAAGUCUUAGUUCGUUAUUGCCUAUUGAAAUAACCGAACUCAGUUGUAUUUCACUUGAUUCAAUCUAAUAAAACCGAGCUUCCGAUCUAAAUUACUGUUUUGUCCCUUGUCGAUAUUCACAUAUCAACAUCUCCGCAACGGUUUGGCUUGGCAGAAGGGAGAUUAAGACACAAGAAACCAACAAAACUGCAACCAACUUCAUAUUUUUUCUUAUAGCUUAUACGUUGUUUAGAAUUUGUGAUUUUAUUUUGUUUUCCGAACAAGAACUUAUAUUCUACACAUAUAU
rnacentral:lncRNA from 1 species